rnacentral:rRNA from 2 species
GGGCGUCUCUAUCUCAUCGCGAGAGGAGGCGCACCUAGAGCGUACACGCUGAUACCCGAAAGAUGGUGAACUAUGCCUGGCCAGGACGAAGCCAGGGGAAACCCUGGUGGAGGUCCGCAGCGAUUCUGACGUGCAAAUCGAUCGUCGGAGCUGGGUUUAGGGGCGAAAGACCAAUCGAACCAUCUAGUAGCUGGUUCCCUCUGAAGUUUCCCUCAGGAUAGCUUGCGCUCGGAUGAAACGAGUCUCAUCCGGUAGAGCGAAUGAUUAGAGGCCUUGGGGUCGAAACGACCUCAACCUAUUCUCAAACUCCAAAUAGAUGAGAACCCCGGCUUUCUUGAACUCUGUUUAUGAAGCCGGGGGCUCGGAUCAGAGUGCCAAGUGGGCCAAUUUU